GUUGAACGCUGACAGAAUGCUUAACACAUGCAAGUCGAUGGGGAAGUGGUGCUUGCACCAUGGCAACCAUGGCGGACGGGUGAGUAACGCGUAAGGGACUUACCUGCAGGACUGGGAUAACAGGGGGAAACUCCUGACAAGACCGGAUAAUGUCAUGGAGCUGCAUGGCUUUAUGAUGAAAGGAGACGCCUGCGGAGAGCCUUGCGUCCUAUUAGCUAGUUGGUGAGGUAAUGGCUCACCAAGGCGAAGAUAGGUAGCCGGCCUGAGAGGGUGGACGGCCACAAGGGGACUGAGAUACGGCCCUUACUCCUACGGGAGGCAGCAGUGGGGAAUAUUGGACAAUGGGGGCAACCCUGAUCCAGCAAUUCUGUGUGCACGAAGAAGGUUUUCGGAUUGUAAAGUGCUUCCAGCAGGGAAGAAGUAAGUGACGGUACCUGCAGAAGAAGCGACGGCUAAAUACGUG
rnacentral:rRNA from 1 species